ensembl:snoRNA
AAUGAGGCUAGAGUCACGUCUGGAUAUGAUCCGUUGUCCCGGUGUGCUAGAGCGCUCAGAGAGAAAAUGUCUUUGCUUAUUCAUUGACUGCAGUCCAUUUGUGGCCCAGUCAAUCACCAACUCAGACACACGA